GACGAACCGUGCGAACGUUAUUCGGAAUCACUGGGCUUAAAGCGCGUGUAGGCGGGACGGCACGUCGGUCGCUGAAAGCCCCCGGCUCAACCGGGGAACGGGCGCUGAUACGACCGCCCUCGAGGAACGUAGGGGGACCUGGAACUUCCGGUGGAGCGGUGAAAUGCGUUGAGAUCGGAAGGAACGCCCGUGGCGAAAGCGAGGUCCUGGACGUUUACUGACGCUGAGACGCGAAAGCCAGGGGAGCGAACGGG
rnacentral:rRNA from 1 species